AUUGUCAAAGUCAGCACUGCUGCUAUAUCGAAUCGCAUAAUGCACUUGUUAUCGUUUUUUUUUUCAAAUUUUUUACAAAGUGUAGUGUAAAAUGUAGUGUAAUGGAUACUUUUAUAUACAUAAUCCUGCAUUUUCCUGAUAAAUUUGUUGGGGUUUAAUUUCUUAAUGAAACAUUUUCGGUGAUAUAAUUUUUUUACUUUGUCAUACAAGUGGUAAUCUCUGUAUUAAUCUCUUCUUGGAUGUUUUUAUAGAAGAUAAAAAUUUUAUUAAACAGUGAACAUCUGUGGAUCAUGGAUGUCGGAGCUGAGGAUUAUUUUUUUUUAUGGGGGUGGGUCAUCUAUUGUUGCAUGAACAAAGGAUAAUCCUUAGCUCCACUGUCCAUGUCUAUGAUAUGCAUUGAAUAAAGUGUUACAUACCCUUAUCAAUAAAAUCAUUGAUAAUGAUACUACCCUUUUUAAUAGGGUAGUAUUUCAGUUUUGUGCCAUGAAGAAUAUCUGUCUAUUUCAGAUAUACUGGUAAGUAGAAAUGAGGCUGAUGAAAUAUUAGAUUUAUCAAAAUAGAGGAUCAAUUCAUGAAAUCUUUGUCAGUGAUUUUCACUUAUUUGCUGCUAGUCAAUCAGAUGUAAAGAUUGUAUUUUGACAAUAGUCAUUAAAAAUUACUUACUUCAGUGACAUCAUGCUCCAAGUCAUCUCAGUCCCUGUUUCAUGAAAGCUUCAUUGCAUACUGAAUUCUUGCAAUUUGAUUGGUCUUUUCAACUGUACCAAAGAUUUCUUGUAUCUGAUACACAUUUUAUGAAACGGUCCAGGAAUGACCUGAACGAAAUAGAUGGUCCUAAGAAAAAUUCAGAUUCAUGAAUUCUAAAUUUAUUUUGCUAUUGAUGAAGAUUUUUAGAAUGAAAAUAUAGUGUGGUAGAAUACUUGUAAUAUAUAGAAAUCAUUCAAAAUGAUCAUCGUCAAUUAUAAUUGUGGCAUGCAGACAAUUCAGUACUAUAUUUAAUCUUAUGGAAAAUAUAAUCAUGUUAAAAAAUCAAUAAUAUUGAUUGUGAUAUUGUGAUAUUAUUAAGGACUGAGACAAAUGCUCAUCCUGGAAUAUUAUCUAUAUCAUUUGAUAUCCUUUACAUGUACAUACCAUCCAAAGUAGUAUUUGAAAAUUUAUGAAAUGAAUGAAUGAAGGGCAUUUGAUACACUAAGUGACUUUUAAUUUCACAGUAUCAUUUGUGUGUCAUUAUUACCAUGAUUUUUGGUCCAAAUUUUUAACUGAUCAAAGCAAGGGAAUAUAUACAGUAAUUUGUACUAUUCAAGGGAUGAGGAGAAUAAAUACUGUUUUUAAAAUUCCUUUUACAUGUAAGUGCCAUUAUUUGAAUAAAAAGUGCCAGUUUUCUCUAUAUUUUGGCAGUCGUCCAUUCAUCAUCAAUUACAUUUAUCCAAUACAUUAAUUACUCUAUUUCAAGAUAGAGAUUUUGAAAUGAUUGUUUCCUCAUUUUUGUGUUUGUGAUGUUGAUAAGAUUUUAUUAAACUCUAUCGACCCCCAAUCGGGAGUAUGAGAGUCUCUACAAGAACCUAUUUACAAUAAUGAAAUUGUGUAUAAAAUGAACAUAUUUACAAUGAUGAAUACAAAUGUUUGCAUUGUGAAAGUACAUGUUGCAAAAGGCUAAUACAACAACAACACAACCCAAUAUAAAUGAAUAUAUUGUGUUAUUACAUUGUAAAAUGCACUGGGUUAAUGACCCUACCACUUCUAGUAGUUACAUUCACUCUGGUUUUUAUCAAAUUCAUCAAAUGAUUUAGAAAAGUACAACAUUAAUUUUCGAAUUAAUUUUUUUUUCAUUUUUUUCAAAUGGCCCCUUUUAUCUAGAUUAAAUAAUCUACCCAUUUGGUAAGCACAAUGUCUAUAAAAGAUUUUUUAGUAUGUUCAUCUGUCUGUCUUUACUUAAGAAAGGACACACAAAUAAAUAAUGGAACUCAUCUCCAAUUUCCUUCAGCGAGCAUAACGUACAUCAUUCACUGAUUCUCGAGAUAAUUGUUAUUGACGGGUUACUUAUAAGACCUGCAUCUGAAUUUACUUAAUGUAGUAGUUGCAUCCUAAUUAAAAUUUGGAAAUA